rnacentral:rRNA from 1 species
AUUGAACGCUGGCGGUAGGCUUAACACAUGCAAGUCGAGCGGUAACAGAGGAAGCUUGCUUCUUGCUGACGAGCGGCGGACGGGUGAGUAACGCGUGGGAAUCUACCUAGUAGUGGGGGACAACAGUUGGAAACAGCUGCUAAUACCGCAUACGCCCUAUGGGGGAAAGCGGGGGAUCUUCGGACCUCGUGCUACUAGAUGUGCCCGCGUUGGAUUAGCUAGAUGGUAAGGUAAUGGCUUACCAUGGCGACGAUCCAUAGCUGGUUUGAGAGGAUGAUCAGCCACACUGGGACUGAGACACGGCCCAGACUCCUACGGGAGGCAGCAGUGAGGAAUAUUGCACAAUGGGGGCAACCCUGAUGCAGCCAUACCGCGUGUGUGAAGAAGGCUUUCGGGUUGUAAAGCACUUUCAGUGGGGAGAAAAAGUUAAUAGUUAAUAGCUAUUAGCUGUGAUGUUACCCACAGAAGAAGCACCGGCUAACUCCGUGCCAGCCGCCGCCGUAACAC